AUCACAUUUGGCGGUACGCUGGAAGAUAUGCUACAAGUACGCUGUAUUACUAAUCGACGCUGGCAAUAAUGCGUCUGAAACGUCUGAAGGGCCCUGUAACGGCUUUUACAAACAGCGCAUUCAUGUUAGCGUUCCAGUCUCAUACGAUAGCCCACAGCGUUUGUCAUACAACCUACCAGCGCAUUUCCUUCGUCCAUGAAAAAAGAUGAAUAGUGGUGUUAAAGAUGAAUAAGCCACCCGUUCCGGCGCGCAUGGCGCGCAGAGAGAGAGAGAGAGAGAGAAAGAGACAAAAAAAAAAUGAAGGAGGAAAAGGCGCUCACACUCCUCCGAGCGCGCACGCCCUCGCGCGCGGAGCUCCUGCGCAUGCUCGGAGCUCUUGCGCAUGCGCGGCGGUGCGCCGUCUCAACGAGUGCGCCAGGCACGUAAACGGUUGUACCGGUGUGCGGUGUAUGCCUGAACGUCGGUGUCUGUGUAUGCGUGUCAUCUUUGUGGCAUCACACGUCAACUACACUGAACGCAUACACCUGCAGCACCUUUGGGACUAAUGACACAAAGGUCAAGGCCAGCCUGGCGACCAUGCUUGCCAAGGAGUAGUGUAAAUAUGUAAUCUGUUUCCAUAAUUAGCAUAAGACAUGAAUUUAAGGAAUUCAUAUAUUAUAUCGAGCAAUAAAAACGGUUAAUGCAUUGCC